GGUUCAGGCACAAGGUGCAGGUAGGCAGAUUUUGCUAAGUUUGACAAUUUUGUUCAGGGCUAACGUGAGCAAACAAUGCAAAUUCCCUAAUUGGGAUUCUGGAACCAGUUUUAAAGAGUAUGCAAAUAUAUUUCAAAGUAGUCAUGAUAAAAAAAGAUGAUAAAAAGGUGAGCAUAAGAAGGAAGAGGGAAAAAAAUGAGAUGUAUGCUUUGUAAACCCUUUUUCUUUUCCUUCCCUCCUUCCUCCCUCCCUCCCUUCCUUCCCCUCUCCCCCUCUUUCCCUUCCUUCCUUCCUUCCUUCCUUCCUUCCUUCCUUCCUUCCUUCUUUCUUUCCUUCCUUCCUUCUUUCUUUCCUUCCUUCCUUCCUUCCUUCCAAGUAGACUUUACUGUUUAGAGCAGUUUUAGGUCCAUGAUGAAAUGGAGGUGAAGGCAUGGAAAUUUCUCACAUAUCCCCUGUCUCCACACAUAUGCAGCAUCCCCAAUUACCAAUCUGUCUCACCAGAAUGCUACAUUUUUUUUUUACAAUCAAUGAACCUCUCUGACAUAUCAUUAACUAUCCAAAGACAAUAAUUUUUACAUUAAGGUCUUGAUAUAAAUUCUAUGUGUUUUGACAAAUGUAAAUGAUGUAUCCAUCACUAUUGUAUCACACAGAGCUGCCCUAAAAAUCCUCUGUGCUCUAUUUAUUUCUUCCUCUUUUCUUGUUUAUCCCUGGAAAU
rnacentral:lncRNA from 1 species